UCCAAGAAGAAUAAAAAACAUUCCACAGACUAAUAAUUCUGAAACAAGAAAAAAAUUGUAUGUAAAAUUGAAAUUAUUAAGUGACCUAGUUGCAUAAGCUUGCCUUCCUUCCUCCACCUGACUUUGUACCUUUCUAUGAUCUGAGGUCUGUGCUGGAAGGCUAGGGCUUGUGGUGAGGCGCUCAGCACCCCGCCCGGCGUGUGGGCGAAGGCCGAGGGCGCUGCGCACGAGCGCGGGCACCCCUGAGGGGCACACGCUGCCGAGGAACUCAGCACCCGAGACUAUUCAGCACAGAGGCCAGUGGGUUUACGCUGGUGCAGAGAAGUCUAAAGAUUUAAGAAGCCUGAAAUUUAAGGGGAAACCUCUGUGGCUGCUCCCUUGUUGAACACAGAGCUGCUGCUUCACUGAAAGUACAUCUUGUUAGGAGAACCACACGGGUGCUGUGCGUGCCUGGGGCGUCGUGAGGGGCGUGAACCGGACAGCUCACUCUGGAUCACAGCGUUUCUGAAGGCUCCAGGUGUACCUGCGGGGAGACAUCCAGGCGUACCUGCGGGGAGACAUCCAGGCAUGCAGCUGGGAGAGUCUCCACUUUUGAGGACCAUGAAAACGUCGGGCUUGCCUGGAUAAUGCGAGAUCACCUCCCCACCUCAGGGUCCCCACCCUGCACCCCACCUGCAGAGUUCCCUUUGCCGCGUAGUCACGCGCACACGUGUUCUGGGGAUCAGCAUGUGGACGUCUCUGGUGCCGUGAUUGUGUCCGGCCACAAGCAUGAGGUUCCCUGCCCACCAGCACUGCGCCUCUGUCAGUCAGUACGAGAGUGACAUGUGACUGACACGGGAGACAAGAUCACAUGAAAGCUUCUCGCCAUCUUCAGGACUGGUGGUCUUGCCUCCUCUAUUUUUGUCCCUAAAAUAGAUAAAAAAAAUAAUGGGCAGCACGUGACUGAGGCCGGAGACCAGCCUGAGGCCAGUGAGGGUCUCUGCUGGGCGCCUGGGCUGGUGCCCCGUGGGCGGUCACCCCGCACGAGCAAGCCAUCUCACUGCACCCCCACCCGGAGCCCCUUCCACACCUUGAUGUUUAUGAUCUCCAGAUGUGAUCACGGGUCUCAGUGUCCACAGUGCCUCUGGGAUGUGCAGCCCAGUGACCAGCACACCAAGGUCAAGAGUGUGGCCAGCCCACUCUGGCUGGUGCUCACCGCCUCCAGCCCCGGGCUCUCCGGUUACUCUGUCAGAACGCACGCCAGCAUCCUGCCUAGAAUCGACACGUGAGGGCCCACCUCAGCCUGGGGGCUUGUCUUCUAUCCCACGUGAACUUUGAGGGCCCUUCAGUCUGCUCUCUGGGGCACCCAGGCACUCACUGGGGCCGAGCGUCCUACUAAGCGACCUGUUUGGUGCAAGCCCACAUGGGCCCACGAUGCCCCAGGGACUUGAAGGGUUAAGACAUCCUGGAAAGGGCUAACACUCUAGCACAUGGUGACUGUGAGUCACCAAGACUGCAACCAUCAGCACGUCCCUCACGGGGCCAUGUACUAAGAAGAUGGCUCUUCAUGCAAAACCGAAUUGAAUGAAACAUUGCUUCUGCGUGUAUCCUAUGAUUUCCCCUUCGAGACCCUGAACUCUUCCUCCAAAGGACAACCUAGAACAGUUUGUCCUACAGAUUCUCUUAAUUCCAACUAGCUUUGUAGGUGUAUUUGUACCCUAAUCUGUUUGAGAAACAAUGGCAUAGAAACUCUUUUAAUUCCAAACCAAAGAAAAUUGCAUUUUAAGAAUCAGUUGCAAUCAGUGAGUUUCAUAUGUGACUGAAUGACUUCAAAAUACAAUCUGGCAUGAAUGGUGGUGGUAGGGAGUAUGUGUGAGAAAGAAAAGGAGCCUUAAAACCGAGCUGGAGCCGGACUCCAUCUCAAGUGGCUGCAUGGUGGUUGGUCUGUCGGUUCACCCAGAGAUGGACGAGAGCCUGGCUGCGCUCGCCUGUGUCUCCUGAGCCGUCAGACGAGAGCCCUGGGAAGGCAGCACGGAAGUGCCUAUUGAAAACGUCUUAAUGUUUCUUAGCAUCACAAUUUCCAUGACAGAAAGUCCACAGAUUGUUUCUCCAAAGGGCUGACUGUUGAGACUCAAGAUUUGAGGUAAUUUACUUGAGCAAAAAAUAAAAAAAAGACUCUCUGCAUGUGUGGUGGCACAGAUGCCAAUCUGUCACCGACGCCGUUUCCUUCGAACAGCUCACAUGAUUUGUGUGAUGAGGGUGGUGGUCUGGGGCAGGCUGUCCCAGUUACCGUGAGUGCCUGGGACACGUGUGAACCCGCCGGCAGUCUUUCUGAGAGCUCUGAUUCUCAACCACAGCAGCACUAAAUGUGUCCUCAUCCAGAUCUGCACGCUGUUUAUACCCAAUAAGUAUGUAACACUGUCCCGAAAGGACACAGAAUGGACAAAUGUGGCUUACUGUGACUUAUUCUGCCGUUCUAAGCAGCAAUAAGAGCAAAUCAAAGGGAAUUAAAACAAGGUCUCAUGAAUAGAAAUAAUGCAGACAGAACUUCUUCCAUCUCUGCUUGGAAUGCCCUCCCAGCGUGGCCUGAAUACCUGGUUCCCGGCAGGCGGCAGCCCUGCCCGCCUGCCCACAUUCACUCCAAAGCCUUUUCGGGCUGUCACCAAGCGUUAACCCCUUGUUCUUCUGCACAUCCCACUAGGGCUGCUGGUUUUGCACAGUUUUCUCAGCAUGGUUUCCCAGCUUCUUGAAGCUGGAGCUUAUGUUCGAUUCACCUUUGCAUCUUCAGCACCUCUCCACAAUAGACAUCGCUUAAACAUUUGUCAGACUGAAUUAAACGUGAAUUCAGAAAACACUGCAUAUCACAGGUGGUUUAAAAGCAUUUUCCCUCUGUAAGGGUCCAGCUGGGCCCCUGAUGCAGGGCAUCCCUCACUGCUUGGUGACUGUGACUGCCAGUCCCACCACGAUCCACCCCCUCUGCACGGUAUGCGUGCCUGGCCGCCCACCUCCCCAGCCGCAUCUCUCCCAGGGACCCGUCGGUGCCCCCAGGUCUGGCGUUUGUCUGGCCUCUCGGUACCUGCACAGCUCCGUUCUGCACCGCCCUCGUGUCUUCCGCUCCUGCUGCUGCCCCCAGCCCCUCCCUGAGCACCUAUACCCCGCUCCUCCCCUCAGUCUGUCCCUUUUCCUCCUUCUGGGGUCAUCUCAAGUCCUUCCUCCCCACAAACCCUUCAAAACCUGCUCAUUCCUCAGUGGAGACCUGUCAACUGCACCAACACAUUUUUGUGGGACUGUGUGUGGUGAUUUUUAUUAGCUUUUUGAGGCACAAUUUCCAACCAUACAUGCCACCAGUUUGAAGUACAUGAUUCAAGGGGUUUUGCCAACAGUCACCGUCCCAAUAAGGAGCACCUCCACCCCCACAGGAAGGUCCUCCAGCCCCGUUCCCGCCCCUGUCAUCCUCCCAUCCUCCACCCGCAGCA